rnacentral:tRNA from 1 species
GGAGAGAUGGCCGAGAGGUUGAAGGCGAUAGUCUUGAAAACUAUUAUAGAGAAAACUCUAUCGAGGGUUCAAAUCCCUCUCUCUCCG